rfam:Triticum aestivum genome assembly, contig: Triticum_aestivum_CS42_TGACv1_scaffold_249782_3DL
AUUGUACUUCCUCCGUUCGGAAAUACUUGUCAUCAAAAUGAAUAAAAGGGGAUGUAUCUAGACGUAUUUUAGUUCUAAAUACACCCCUUUUUGUCUAUUUGGAUGACAAGUUUUUUCGGACGGAGUGAGUAGCUA